rnacentral:rRNA from 1 species
GACGAACGCUGGCGGCGUGCUUAACACAUGCAAGUCGAACGCACCUUCGGGUGAGUGGCGGACGGGUGAGUAACGCGUAGGUAAUCUACUCUUCAGUGGGGGGAUACCCCAGCCGAAAGGUUGGUUAAUACCGCAUACGCUCCUGUGCAGAGAGGUACAGGAGGAAAGGUUUACUGCUGAGGAAUGAGCCUGCGUCCGAUUAGCUAGUUGGUGGGGUAAAGGCUCACCAAGGCGACGAUCGGUAGCUGGUCUGAGAGGACGAUCAGCCACACUGGAACUGAGACACGGUCCAGACUCCUACGGGAGGCAGCAGUGGGGAAUUUUCCGCAAUGGGCGAAAGCCUGACGGAGCAACGCCGCGUGGGUGAUGAAGUUUUUCGGAACGUAAAACCCUUUCGCCAGGGACGAAGCGAGUGACGGUACCUGGAGAAGAAGCAUCGGCUAACUACGUGCCAGCAGCCGCGGUAAU